GACGAACGCUGGCGGCGUGCCUAAUACAUGCAAGUAGAACGCUGAAGGAGGAGCUUGCUUCUCUGGAUGAGUUGCGAACGGGUGAGUAACGCGUAGGUAACCUGCCUGGUAGCGGGGGAUAACUAUUGGAAACGAUAGCUAAUACCGCAUAAGAGUAGAUGUUGCAUGACAUUUGCUUAAAAGGUGCAAUUGCAUCACUACCAGAUGGACCUGCGUUGUAUUAGCUAGUUGGUGGGGUAACGGCUCACCAAGGCGACGAUACAUAGCCGACCUGAGAGGGUGAUCGGCCACACUGGGACUGAGGCACGGCCCAGACUCCUACGGGAGGCAGCAGUAGGGAAUCUUCGGCAAUGGACGGAAGUCUGACCGAGCAACGCCGCGUGAGUGAAGAAGGUUUUCGGAUCGUAAAGCUCUGUUGUAAGAGAAGAACGAGUGUGAGAGUGGAAAGUUCACACUGUGACGGUAUCUUACCAGAAAGGGACGGCUAACUACGU
rnacentral:rRNA from 1 species